rnacentral:rRNA from 1 species
UACGAAGGGUGCAAGCGUUACUCGGAAUUACUGGGCGUAAAGCGUGCGUAGGUGGUUUUUUAAGUCCGUUGUGAAAGCCCUGGGCUCAACCUGGGAAUGGCAGUGGAUACUGGAAAGCUAGAGUGCGGUAGAGGGUGGUGGAAUUCCCGGUGUAGCAGUGAAAUGCGUAGAGAUCGGGAGGAACACCAGUGGCGAAGGCGGCUACCUGGACCAGCACUGACACUGAGGCACGAAAGCGUGGGGAGCAAACAGG